rnacentral:rRNA from 1 species
GACGUAGGGGGCAAGCGUUGUCCGGAAUCAUUGGGCGUAAAGCGCUCGUAGGUGGAUCGGUAAGUCUGCAAAGAAAGACCCGGGCUCAACUCGGGGAACGGUGUGGAUACUACCGAUCUUGAGGCAAUCAGAGGAUGAUGGAAUUCCCGGUGUAGCGGUGAAAUGCGUAGAGAUCGGGAAGAACACCAGUGGCGAAGGCGGCCGGCUGGGGGUGUCCUGACGCUGAGGCGCGAGAGCGUGGGGAGCAAACCGG